rnacentral:lncRNA from 1 species
UCCUUAUAACAGAGUAUGUACUCCUAAAAAAAAAAGCGAAAUUCGUUCUGUACAAUGUUGAUGCAUGCUUCAUGAUUCAGAGGAAAUAAAAGGAAACUAUCCUUUCCCAAUCUUGAGGCCUUGUUUGGAACGCAAGAAUUUCAUUGGAGAAACGUGCAACUUCCUCAGAAAUCCCACGAAAUUCCGGCGUUCCAAACCGUGGCUUACAAAUUCGUCAGUUCAGUUUAGUUGAUCAGGAACUGAUCUCUGACGAACGCCGAUAUCAGAGGUACCAUGGAACAAGAACAACUACUAGUUACCACGUCGGACAUCAGUAAAAAUAGCAACUGAUUAUAUACUACUAUAGUCCUACUCCUCCCUAGAUCACUGGCCACGAAGUUCUCCACUGCUCCAUUUCUUCUCGCGCCGCCAACCAAUCCGCCAUGGAAUGACGCAGCAGUGCGCAGACAGAGCAAGAGCGACAGAGAUCCUCACAUGCCCUUAGCUGCAGAGUGCAAAAGCACGGGCGAUCUUGUCAUCGGUUGUGCAAUGGGUUGGAGCCGGUGGGCACGACCCUCUUGUCGUCGUCGCCGCCGCCGCCGCCGGGCAUCCCCGCGCAGGCGGCGCCAGCUCUGUUCCACUGCUUCUUGCAGGCGUCGAAGGCGGCGACACGCGCGCGGCCGCGAACGCUGGCCCCCCAGCGGCGGGCCGCGGGCAUUGGCGCGCCGCCGCCGUGGACGGUGGCCAGGAGCACGACGAGCGCAACGAGGCACGCGGCGGCGAGGGGCGCCCACCGUCGCCUCCUCAUGGCGGACGCGCGCCGAGCGGGGUAGAGGUGGACGUGUGUAGGCUAUUGGGCGGAGACGAGGGGGAGACUAGUGGAGCGUUGUCACAGUGGCGCAGACUGCAUUGCAGAGUCACAGUGCUGCCAAGUGUGGCGUCGAAGCAGGAGAAGGGUGAGUGAAGCAAGAAGUUAUGGACGACGAAGAAGGAAGAUACAACAAUGCUGCAC